GUCAUCCGCGGCAUUUAGCCGCGGCCUCAUUGAAGC
rfam:Thioalkalivibrio sulfidophilus HL-EbGr7, complete genome.